GAAUCUAGCAAGAACUUGGUACUGUGACCUGUGUGGAAUUAGCCGCGUUGUUGCUUCACAUCACAGUCUGAGUUCUUGCUGGACGG
rnacentral:pre_miRNA from 1 species